GAACGGGUGAGUAAUGCAUCGGAACGUGUCCUAAAGUGGGGGAUAACGCAUCGAAAGACGCGCUAAUACCGCAUAAUCUCUGAGGAGGAAAGUAGGGGAUCGAAAGACCUUAUGCUUUUGGAGCGGCCGAUGUCUGAUUAGCUAGUUGGUAGGGUAAUGGCCUACCAAGGCGACGAUCAGUAGUUGGUCUGAGAGGAUGGCCAACCACACUGGGACUGAGACACGGCCCAGACUCCUACGGGAGGCAGCAGUGGGGAAUUUUGGACAAUGGGCGCAAGCCUGAUCCAGCAAUGCCGCGUGAGUGAAGAAGGCCUUCGGGUUGUAAAGCUCUUUCAGUUGAGAGGAAAAGGUUGUGACUAAUAAUCACAAUUCAUGACAGUAUCAACAGAAGAAGCACCGACUAACUACGUGCCAGCAGCCGCGGUAAUACGUAGGGUGCGAGCGUUAAUCGGAAUUAUUGGGCGUAAAGGGUGCGCAGGCGGCUCUGUAAGUCAGAUGUGAAAUCCCCGGGCUUAACCUGGGAAUUGCGUUUGAAACUACAGGACUAGAGUGUGGCAGAGGGGGGUGGAAUUCCAUGUGUAGCAGUGAAAUGCGUAGAGAUGUGGAAGAACAUCGAUGGCGAAGGCAACCCCCUGGGUUAACACUGACGCUCAUGCACGAAAGCGUGGGGAGCAAACAGGAUUAGACACCCUGGUAGUCCACGCCCUAAACUAUGUCAACUAGUUGUCGGGCCUUAAUAGGUUUGGUAACGUAGCUAACGCGUGAAGUUGACCGCCUGGGGAGUACGGUCGCAAGAUUAAAACUCAAAGGAAUUGACGGGGACCCGCACAAGCGGUGGAUUAUGUGGAUUAAUU
rnacentral:rRNA from 1 species